rnacentral:rRNA from 1 species
GUAGGUGGCAAGCGUUGUCCGGAAUUAUUGGGCGUAAAGCGCGCGCAGGCGGUCCUUUAAGUCUGAUGUGAAAGCCCACGGCUCAACCGUGGAGGGUCAUUGGAAACUGGGGGACUUGAGUACAGAAGAGGAAAGCGGAAUUCCAAGUGUAGCGGUGAAAUGCGUAGAGAUUUGGAGGAACACCAGUGGCGAAGGCGGCUUUCUGGUCUGUAACUGACGCUGAGGCGCGAAAGCGUGGGGAGCAAACAGGGAUUAGAUACCCUGGUAGUCCACGCCGUAAACGAUGAGUGCUAAGUGUUAGGGGGGUUUCCGCCCCCGUUAGUGCUGCAGCCAACGCAUUAAGCACUCCGCCUGGGGAGUACGGCCGCAAGGCUG